rnacentral:rRNA from 1 species
ACGAACGCUGGCGGCGUGCCUAAUACAUGCAAGUAGAACGCUGAAGGAGGAGCUUGCUUCUCUGGAUGAGUUGCGAACGGGUGAGUAACGCGUAGGUAACCUGCCUGGUAGCGGGGGAUAACUAUUGGAAACGAUAGCUAGUACCGCAUAAUAGUAGAUGUUGCAUGACAUUUGCUUAAAAGGUGCAAUUGCAUCACUACCAGAUGGACCUGCGUUGUAUUAGCUAGUUGGUGAGGUAACGGCUCACCAAGGCAACGAUACAUAGCCGACCUGAGAGGGUGAUCGGCCACACUGGGACUGAGACACGGCCCUGACUCCUACGGGAGGCAGCAGUAGGGAAUCUUCGGCAAUGGACGGAAGUCUGACCGAGCAACGCCGCGUGAGUGAAGAAGGUUUUCGGAUCGUAAAGCUCUGUUGUAAGAGAAGAACGAGUGUGAGAGUGGAAAGUUCACACUGUGACGGUAUCUUACCAGAAAGGGACGGCUAACUACGUG